CCAUCAUGUCACCGUGGUGGGAUUAACUCUGGAUGGCUGCCAGAGGAUGCUCAUCAACUUAAAGAGCAUGGCCCAGUGUUUAUCACGGAACUGCUCAGUGUGUGGCUGACAGGACUGAGAGGUUCCCAAAUCCACAGGACAGAUCUGAGAAUGAGCAGCACAGUGGGAAGGCAUUUGCUCCUACCAGGGGAUAAUUCAGAACUAUGUGAACCAUCUCCCAUGAGGCUCUCUGAAGAUGGAGCCCACCGGAUCACAGAAUCUACAGGCUGAGCAUACACUCUACUCCAGCUUCUCAGCUCUCGUCAUCUGCACAGAAAUACAUCACUAAGUCAUUUAUGCUCAUCUUCCUUCUGAACUUCUAUCUACAGCAACUGGAAACCGUUACAGAAGACCACAACUGGACACAAUGCGAAAAUCAAUGGAUUGUGUGGGACCCAACCCCAGUAGAUAAAUCUGUAGCAUAGCUCCUGUACUGGUGCCUCCAGGGGCGUGGCAGAAGAGCUCAUGAGAAUAUUGUAAGAUCCUGAUUACCUGCAAGCCUGCUGUAAGUCUGCAUCUCUUAUAAAUUACUGCACAAACAAAGCCAUAACAAUGACAAUAUUAUUAGACAUACUAACACAG
ensembl:lncRNA